UAAGGAAUAUUGGACAAUGGAGGCAACUCUGAUCCAGCCAUGCCGCGUGAAGGAAUAAGGCCCUAUGGGUUGUAAACUUCUUUUAGACGGGACAAAACCCCUUUACGUGUAAAGGGUUGAUGGUACUGUCAGAAUAAGCAUCGGCUAACUUCGUGCCAGCAGCCGCGGUAAUACGAAGGAUGCAAGCGUUAUCCGGAAUUAUCGGGUUUAAAGGGUGCGUAGGCGGACUAAUAAGUCAGUGGUGAAAGCCUGCAGCUUAACUGCAGAAUUGCCAUUGAUACGGUUAGUAUUGAGUACAGUUGAGGUAGGCGGAAUGUGUCAUGUAGCGGUGAAAUGCUUAGAUAUGACACAGAACACCGAUUGCGAAGGCAGCUUGCUAAGCUGUAACUGACGCUGAGGCACGAAAGCGUGGGGAGCAAACA
rnacentral:rRNA from 1 species